GGUGAUGAGGCUCUGAAACCAGGGGCAGAGACAAACGGACAAGAACCACUGAUGGUGACGAAACAACGAGGCUCCCCUCCUGUCAGUGAGGGGGGGCCAAGGCGAAGCCGGACACCGGACGGAGCAAAGUGUGGACACCUGCUGUGCAGACGUCUCCACGUGGACAAAGGCCAUCUGCCUCACAGACUCACAGAGACCCAGGCCACACUUGGGCUUUACAUACGUGAAUAUUAUGAUAGGCGGUGCUUCUCCACUGUGUACAGGCUGAGAUCCGGCGUUGCAGGACGGUCACCAGCCAUGGAUGCUGACCCAGGGACCUAGAAGACAGCUUCCGCGCUUCUCCAGCUCCGGCACCUACUUAUUAGAACACACGGGGUCAAAGAGGUUAAGAAACUGGAGAUCUAAGGAAUGCGGUUUGAAAAUGAACCUGCUGAAUGAUCCCUUCCAGCCACUUAUGCUCCUCACUGUCCCCAGAUGCAGCUCAGCAGUCUUCCCAGCAACGGAUCUCAAUGCUCUGGUGAUGCGGAGUCUGAGGCCGGGACCACCAGGCUCUGCCAGGCACACCCCUCCGUGGGAGACAGGGGCAAAUGAACGGAGGCAGCUGAGACAGAGACCACGGGAGAAAUGAGGGUUCCUCUUGUGGACGUGAGCCAGAGACACUUGAUUUUUCUGGGGGCUCCAGCAGAGGUUUAAGCAGUAGAUCUUUGAGAAACAAUCAAGACUGACUUCCCUGUGCUUCCAGAGAUUCUGGAAGGUCUCUGGUGCCCUAUAAUAAAGAAUUUCAGUUUGAAUUAGUCUGCUUAGGCUGUCACAACAAAAUGCUAUCAACUGUGUGGCAUAAAUAGCAGAAAUUUAUUUUCUCACAGUUCUGGAGGCUGUAGCUCCUAGGUGAAGGUCUGGUAGGCUGGUUUCUGGGGAGGGCUCUCUUCCUGUCUUGCAAGUGGCUGCCUUCUCGCUAUGUCCUCACGUGGAGGAAAGAGAGUGAGCUCUCUGGUUCCCUUUCUAGAAAGACACCGACUUCAUCACCUCAGGGCCCCAUCCUUGCAACGUCAUUAGCCCUUAGCUGCUUCCCUAAGGGUCCUAUCUCUGUAUACAGGAACAGUGAGGGAGGG
rnacentral:lncRNA from 1 species